CCUAGUAAAAAAGCUAGAAUUACAACAUAAGACCAGAAGACCCUGUGAAGCUUAAAUAAAACUAUUAAACCAUAUAAUAGCUACUUUCGGUUGGGGCGGCCUUGGAAAAAAAAAGAACUUCCAAAUAAAAUGAAUAUACCUCAUUAUCUAAACAGGCCAACAAGCCAAAAAUGACCCAGCACAGCUGAUAAUUGAACCAAGUUACUCCAGGGAUAACAGCGCAAUCUUCUUCAAGAGCCCAUAUCAAAAAGAAGGUUUACGACCUCGAUGUUGGAUCAGGACAUCCUAAUGGUGCAGCCGCUAUUAAGGGUUCGUUUGUUCAACGAUUAAUA
rnacentral:rRNA from 1 species